rnacentral:rRNA from 1 species
ACGUAGGGUGCAAGCGUUAAUCGGAAUUACUGGGCGUAAAGCGUGCGCAGGCGGCUUUGCAAGACAGAUGUGAAAUCCCCGGGCUUAACCUGGGAACUGCAUUUGUGACUGCAUCGCUGGAGUGCGGCAGAGGGGGAUGGAAUUCCGCGUGUAGCAGUGAAAUGCGUAGAUAUGCGGAGGAACACCGGUGGCGAAGGCGGGUCUCUGGGCCGUAACUGACGCUGAGGAGCGAAAGCAUGGGGAGCGAACAGGA